AGAAAAGUUUUAAGGGGAAGAGUAGAAUAAAGUUGGCUAUAAUUUUGUUCGAAAGUCAUCCCUAAGCUGUUAAUCUGAAAAACAAGAGUAGGAUUAACCGAUAGUUACGUUAUAACUUAAACAUUGAGAGCCUGUUUAAUAUAGAUAUUAUAGAAUAUUCUUAGACAGGAAUUAAGGUGGUACCGCGGAUAGACUCCUUUCGUCCUUUUG
rfam:Atribacteria bacterium 34_128 MPI_scaffold_235, whole genome shotgun sequence.